CCUACGGGAGGCAGCAGUGGGGAAUAUUGCACAAUGGAGGAAACCCUGAUGCAGCGACGCAGCGUGAGCGAUGAAGUCUUUCUGUAUGGAAAGCUCUAUCAGCAGGGGAGAAAAUUACGGUACCUGACUAAGACUCCCCGGCUAACUACGUUCCAGCAGCCGCGGUCAUACGUAGGGGGCAAGCGUUAUCCGGAUUUACUGGGUGUAACGGGAGCGUAGACGGCGAUGCAAGCCAGAUGUGAAAGCCCCGGGCUCAACCCCGGGACUGCAUUUGGAACUGUGUGGCUGGAGUGUCGGAGAGGUAGGCGGAAUUCCUAGUGUAGCGGUGAAAUGCGUAGAUAUUAGGAGGAACACCAGUGGCGAAGGCGGCCUGCUGGACGAUGACUGACGUUGAGGCUCGAAAGCGUGGGGAGCAAACAGGAUUAGAUACCCCAGUAGUC
rnacentral:rRNA from 1 species